rnacentral:rRNA from 1 species
UACGUAGGGUGCGAGCGUUGUCCGGAAUUAUUGGGCGUAAAGAGCUCGUAGGCGGUCUGUCGCGUCGGUCGUGAAAACUUGGGGCUUAACCCUGAGCUUGCGGUCGAUACGGGCAUGACUGGAGUUCGGUAGGGGAGACUGGAAUUCCUGGUGUAGCGGUGAAAUGCGCAGAUAUCUGGAGGAACACCAGUGGCGAAGGCGGCAUCCUGGACCGGCAUUGACGCUGAGGCGCGAAAGCUAGGGUAGCAAACGGG